rnacentral:lncRNA from 1 species
AAAAAAAAAAAAAAAAAAAACAGUACCUCUGGACCCCCAAAAAUCUGUGGGAAGAAAACAUCCUGAGAAGGUUAUUCGGUGCAAACACCAGCCAUUUUUCAACAGAGAAGGAUUUAGAAGAUGAACAGAGCCAAGAGCCACGGAGAAUCAUUCCCAGGCAGUAGGAUUGAGCCCUAGUCAAGAAAUUGAUGCUGUGUGCCUGGAUAGAUUUCAGAACUGCUACGGACCAGUGACUGCCAUGUGCCUCCUGCACGGCGUGUUAGCAUGUGUUAGAUAGUGGCUAUCCUAUGCCCGUCCCAUCGCUGUAGGUUGCGUGGGGACAGAGCAGAUAACGCAUCCCUUCAGUUCACAGAGCUUUAGACAAAGGGGAGUAGAACUCUGGGCACCUGCACAUGAGGACCCUCCUCUGUCCCUGGACGGCUUAGCUGAUGGCAUCCAAGCCCUCUUGCCAGCACCUGAUGCCACCAGGCAUGAGACUUGGGGGUCAUUGGAUGGGAGUUGGGGGUAUUUUGCAUGUGAAAAGAAUAUGAAUGAGAGUAAACUAUGGUGGCUGUAGGCAUGGUGUAGGUUUGUAGUCAAGAAAUAAAUUGAUACCCUGUAAUUGCCUCACCAAACCAAGGCUGGGCCAGGAAAGGUGACACAGCUGUGCCCUGCUCUCUCUCAGGAUACACACUGAGUUGUGGCAUAAAAAAUUCACCUGUUCUAGGGUGGCCACGUGCGCAAGCUGGUGGAGGGAAGCCGCCCAGAGCCAGGAGCAGACUUGUGAGUGAGGAACCCUGAAGACCCCAUCCUCAUGAGACCCCACAGAAACCAUGAAUGUGAAAACCAUUUCCUGCUCGCUGUGGACCAGGUCCAGAGGCUGCGCCCGAGGCUCCCACGCCAACCGUCCAGUGUCCUUGGCCGAGGGCAGGGAUCUCGCCGCCUUUCCCCCUUCCUCAGCCAAACCCUCACACUCCCGCAGCCGAAUCGCCGGAGGCCGGGAAAGACCCUCGCCUGUCCCUUGCAGCAAGAGUGACAGACCUGGGCAGAGGCCACGUUCGUCCCCACAGACAGCCUCGCUUCCCUGCUCCACUUGCCUUUCCCCAGGGCAGCUCCGGGCCGGGCCUGCAUGGGAGCCAGCCCCCACUACCCACCAGAACCAGCAGCCCCCAGAGAGCUGACAGGGACCUGCAGGAGCGGGCGCUUCGUGGUGCCCGGCAAAAGCCUCCUGGGCAGAGGACACAAACAUACUGAGGACAG